UUUCCACACUCCACAUCUGCUAAAUGCAACAAGGUCAAACAAGCUCCUACAAAGGUAUCGUUUAACGUCAUCCUUGCACUGUACGGAUGAUAGCUGAAUGCUUCAUUGUUGAGGAAGGGAUGUGUUCAGAUUCCCCUUGGGCAAGAAUUUAAUCAACCAUGGCAGUAAUGGGUUUUUUUUGAAGACCCUGACCUGGAGUUACAUGCUGACUAUGGUUCUUUGUGGGAAUGGGACCCCACUCUCAGGGAUUCAGGACUGACUGUUGUCCGGCAAGCCAAGAGCUCAGCCUAAGUAUUUGGCUUGGCUUUGGAAGCCUAGGAUCUCGGGCCACUGGAGACAGGCAGAUUGAGGGUCGGUGUCACGACAGGAGAACCGUGUGUCGUCAG